rnacentral:sRNA from 1 species
UCCGGGGGCAAGAGGUUCGACUCGAGCGACGCGAGAGAACGUUGCGUCAGCAACGGCCCGCAGGGCGAGCCACGCAGUGGCGAGUCAUCCUCUAUCACCGACCA